rnacentral:rRNA from 1 species
AGUGAACGCUGGCGGUAGGCCUAACACAUGCAAGUCGAACGGCAGCACAGUAAGAGCUUGCUCUUACGGGUGGCGAGUGGCGGACGGGUGAGGAAUACAUCGGAAUCUACUUUUUCGUGGGGGAUAACGUAGGGAAACUUACGCUAAUACCGCAUACGACCUACGGGUGAAAGCAGGGGAUCUUCGGACCUUGCGCGAUUGAAUGAGCCGAUGUCGGAUUAGCUAGUUGGCGGGGUAAAGGCCCACCAAGGCGACGAUCCGUAGCUGGUCUGAGAGGAUGAUCAGCCACACUGGAACUGAGACACGGUCCAGACUCCUACGGGAGGCGGCAGUGGGGAAUAUUGGACAAUGGGCGCAGGCCUGAUCCAGCCAUACCGCGUGGGUGAAGAAGGCCUUCGGGUUGUAAAGCCCUUUUGUUGGGAAAGAAAAGCAGCAGGUUAAUACCCCGCUGUUCUGACAGUACCCAAAGAAUAAGCACCGGCUAACUUCGUG